UAAAUAUAGCAUCAUAGCUAUUGAUAUGUUUAUCUUUGUAUUAAUUUCCUUCUUUCAAUAUCCCAGUUCCGUUACGGUGCCAAAUUCCUAUCACUUUUCUACGAUUCCCAAUUCUUAUAGGUUAAGUAAAAUUUUAGCUUCAAAAAGUGAUACAUCUGCAAAUGAGUUUUUUUAUCUCAAAAUUGAGUAAUUUUAGUUGAAUUUAUAUGUCAUUUUAACAGUACUGCUAUUCUAACCUCUAAUUAUAACGUCAAAAAGUAUCGAACAGACUAUGUAUUACGAAGUAAUGAAUAUUAGUGAGAGUGGAGAUAGCAAAUAUGGUACCUACUAAAUAAUUCUAAUCAAUAAAAAUGUCAACUAUACAGACAAUUCUGCUCAAUUGAUGAUUGCAUUUGUCUAUUAUAACUUUUUUCUUUCGGUCUAUUAUUAUUCGAUCAUAUAUUGUUUGACAUUAUGUCAUAAAUAUCUUUUUUCAUUACUAAAAAUAAUCUAAAACAGAAUAAAACUAAACAGCAUCUGCAGAAGUAAUCAUAUCGGCAUAUGAUAUAAUUACCUUUUACCUUCGCUCACGUAGGUACGUGUAUAAUCGCCGUUCUCACAACGCGAACAAAACAAAAAAUUAAAUAAAAUCAUCUCCGUCUGGAAAGGAUCUUUGUCGCCGCCAAAAUGCACCCCAUGACGAAGCUCAAUCAUAAAUAGUCGACUAGCAACUUUUUCGUCGUUCUCUUUGUUCCGAAACAGCCGACGACGGGCCCUGCGAACGCCACCACUGUUAUUAGUGUGUGUUACAGUGCACAUGUCUGCGCACCGCGAUAGCGCUGUUGGUAAGAGAGAGAGGUUCGUUGUUUGAUCUUGCAUUCAAAUCUCUGUCUAUUUUUGUCCUGCGACUGGCAAACAUGAAAUGGGGGAAUAGGGAAACUGGCAAUACGUGAGGAAUUCCACGGAGUCAUGUCAGUCGAUCCUGAGCGACCAUUUCAAAAAUAUCUGAAACUUUGCACAGUUUUUCAAUUUCAUCUAAAUCGUCAUUUUUCGAUAUCAAACCUUCAUAUUCACUCACGACUAACUUUUCAGAAGGGUGUAUGCUAAAACAGCUCAAAAAUAUUCUAAAAGCUGUACAGCAAAAACGGAUUUUUCGAUUGUUAUGAAUUUUUCAGCAAAGUUAGAUAACUAAAUGAUGAUUCCUUAGAAAAUAUACACUGUAAAAAAUUUAUUUUUUUACUUAAAAAAAAUAUGAUUUUUGUCACAAAAACUCAAAUAUCUCAAAACCCUAUCUUUUUACCAACGUUAAUUUUUUAGGGGAAAUGGCCCUUUAUAUCAGCUAUCUACCAUAAAAUUUUGGUGAUGGUAAACUGAUAAACAAAAAAGUUAUGACAUUUCAAACAUUUCACAAUUUUUACAUUUAGUAACAAAAAAAUUUUUUUUUCUGUGUAAAUUAUUUUGAGAAUUAUUUUUUGAUGCUGAUUUUAUUGUAAAGGCUACCGCCUGAAUUAAACAAGUUGUUUUCAUUAUACUUUUGUUUGAUUAUUCAUAAUUUCUAUAGUAUCUAUUUGAAACUUAGACGCGAUCCAGUGUUUUGAUCAAAAAUAUUGAGAGUGUCAUACUUUUUAUUGUACGUGACUGGUGAAAAAAUCCCUUGAUAGUGUUGAAAAGCUGUUGAUUAUAAGAAAAAUGGAAUUAAACUUAUUUUUAAGACAAAAGCUGUAUAAUAAAAGUUUUAUAUACGCGUAUACGUCUAGUUUAUCUUCAAAAAAAAUACCUCUUAGAGAACAGACUUUAUGAUCGGAAGAAUGCGAGUAACUUCAACAACAACAAAUGCAUGAGAGUUACCUACACGGAGAAAAAUGGUUAAUCUUUUUAGUAUAUUAUUUAAUAAUAAUUUUUCAUUUCACUCUUUUAAACAUUGUCAUGCAUAAAAAAAUAUGCAUUGCUUCAUUUUUAAUAUGCAAUCCGCUGCAUUUGCGGUAUUUAUUGGUUCCCGUGAAUACCAAGACCCUGAUAGUACUCUUAGGACUUAAUAAAAUAUUUAACUUGACCAGCCAUUAUUAUUUAGAAGUCAUAAAGUUAUCCGCGCUCAUGUUUUUAGUUUGUUCCUCAAGUGCCCUUAGGGAAAACCAUGGCGUGUCACAAACCGCGAUCGCGAUUAUUCCAUUCUCAGUUUGGCACCACCGGAAAGAUGUAUCCAACCGGUACCUGCUGCAGAAGUAAUCCGGACUUAACUGAUAUUGGCUCCACCGGGAAGAUACAUCGAACCAGUUCCUGCUGGAAAGAUGCUCCAAACUUCACCGAAAUCAGCACUACCGGAAAGAUCAAAUCAGUUCCUGUUGCAGAAAUGAUCCGACGAAGGAUCCGGCUCCGGUGCAGCAUCAACGAACCGUAGGAGAGACUUCUGUGCGAUAUGUUUGAUGAUCCGGCUAACAUAGUGCAGUGUAAGAUUUAUUGUAUUUUAUUGUAUUUAAGGAUAAAGAUAAUAAAAUUAUUAGGUAUCGUGUUUUAAUCAACUAAA